rnacentral:tRNA from 1 species
GGGGUUGUGGCUCAGUGGUAGAGCCUCACAUGUGAGGUACUGGGUUCGAUCCUCAGCACCACA